rnacentral:rRNA from 1 species
AUUGAACGCUGGCGGCAGGCCUAACACAUGCAAGUCGAGCGAGCGGCGGACGGGUGAGUAAUGUCUGGGAAAAUGCCUGAUGGAGGGGGAUAACUACUGGAAACGGUAGCUAAUACAGCAUACCAUCGGAUGUGCCCAGAUGGGAUUAGCUAGUAGGUGGGGUAAAGGCGAACCUAGGCGACGAACCCUAGCUGGUCUGAGAGGAUGACCAGCAACACUGGAACUGAGACACGGUCCAGACUCCUACGGGAGGCAGCAGUGGGGAAUAUUGCACAAUGGGCGCAAGCCUGAUGCAGCCAUGCCGCGUGUAUGAAGAAGGCCUUCGGGUUGUAAAGUACUUUCAGCGGGGAGGCGUUACCCUCAGAAGAAGCACCGGCUAACUCCGUGCCAGCAGCCGCGGUAAUUC